rnacentral:rRNA from 1 species
CAGUAGCCACGGUAACACGUAGGUGGCAAGCGUUGUCCGGAAUUAUUGGGCGUAAAGCGCGCGCAGGCGGAUCAGUCAGUCUGUCUUAAAAGUUCGGGGCCUAACCCCGUGAUGGGAUGGAAACUGCUGAUCUAGAGUAUCGGAGAGGAAAGUGGAAUUCCUAGUGUAGCGGUGAAAUGCGUAGAGAUCGGGAGGAACAUCAGUGGCGAAGGCGGCGACCUGGGCCAACAUUGACGCUGAGGCGCGAAAGCGUGGGGAGCAAACAGGAUUAGAUACCCCAGUAGUCCCUGUCUCUUAUACA